GCGGGAUUAGUAUAGUGGUAGUACUUCGGUCUCCAAAACCGAUGGCGGAGGUUCGAUUCCUCCAUCCCGUG
rnacentral:tRNA from 1 species